rnacentral:ncRNA from 2 species
CGCGGGAGACCGGGGUUCGAUUCCCCGCCG